GCCAUCAUACCAGCACUAAUGCGCUAGAUCCCAUCAGAACUCCGCAGUUAAACGUGCUUGGGUGAGAGUCGUACUAGGAUGGGUAACCCUUUGGAAAGUCCUCGUGUUACUCACC